rnacentral:tRNA from 1 species
GGCCCUGUAGUGUAGUUGGUUAUCACACGGGAUUCUGAAAUAGGAACUUCCCGUGACCCAGGUUCGAAUCCUGGCAGGGCCU